rnacentral:rRNA from 1 species
UACGUAGGGUGCGAGCGUUGUCCGGAAUUAUUGGGCGUAAAGGGCUCGUAGGCGGUCUGUUGCGUCGGGAGUGAAAACUCAGGGCUUAACCCUGAGCCUGCUUCCGAUACGGGCAGACUAGAGGUAUGCAGGGGAGAACGGAAUUCCUGGUGUAGCGGUGAAAUGCGCAGAUAUCAGGAGGAACACCAGUGGCGAAGGCGACACGCUGGGCCGUACCUGACGCUAAAGCGCGACAGCAUGGGGAGCAAACGGG